GGGUGCCAAUCGAAAAGAACACUUAAUCGAAAAAGAAUUAACGAUUUUAUUUUUCUCACGAAUCAUUUUCGAACAUCCAAAGCUGCACAGUCGACGCGAAACUGCAUCAUUAUUUUACAAAUAUUGGGAAUGACAUACACGUUAAAUGUAACGUACUCUGAAUUACUUACUUCAGGCACGGCCAACAGUAAAUGAUGCCUUCGAAGAUUAUCUUCGAAAAUACGAGGUGUUAUUCUACAACCGAACGCGUUGAUAAACAAAGUGAAUCAAAGAGAAAGGCGAUCAGAUACUUCCUUACCUUUGGAAUACAAACUCUUGGGCGAAUUAAGAUCCAAAUCCGCGCUGAGAAGCGAGAUGAAAUCAGAGGGCAUCACCUGGAGAAGGGAGGAAGAGUCAGGACCCCUCCAACGGAAUAGAUUCUGUUAAAUCUGUUCUUCGUUACCAUUUAAUUAUUAAUCCCGCUUUAGUGAACAAAGACCUUCUUCAGAUUCUCCUUUCUCCCCAAGGUAAAGAAGCGUUUGGAAAUUCAAAAUAAAAUUAGAAGCCAGGCGUGCAAACGAACUGCGUGUUUCUAGCUAAAAUGGCUGCAUUUGGUCUCCAGUGAAGGAAAUGGAAAGUGUUGGCUCUCUUAUGUGUAAUCUCGCCAUACAAACUGCAUGAGACGGCUAGUCUCCGCUCCUUUUAGUCAUCGGCUCCAACCGACGUCUUCCAGCCGUCGCUGCCGCGCGCUCACGUCACCGGGCGGCGCACGCGCACUGGUCCCGGGAAUCCGAGCUUCUGGAAGUUGUGGUGCCCGUAAUGGAGUAUACAAGCAAAAUGAUGCGCAUGUUAGAAAUCUGAAAUUUUAAAAAAACGUGCCGAGAGGAAAAGAGGACGACUCAGGAAAUUCUUCUUGGACUACAAACGUUCACCGCUUUCUAACCUGCGCAGUGUUUCCAACACUUUCCUUCCUUUUUUUCCUAGCAUGAUAGGCCCCUAACCCCCCCCCCCCGCCUUUUGUGAACGUGAACACACAGAGGGUACCUACAUGGAAAGGGAGGACAGUAAUGUAUGAGAUUAAAAAACGGCAGCAGUGAACUCCUUCAACCUGCUCUUAUCCGUCAGAGCAGAAGUGUGACAUCACAGAAAAUGAUGAUAGGAAUUCAAACUGAAAAAAAAAGUUUCCUGAAACAAAAUGGAAUUUAUGAAGGAUGCUGUUGGAAGAACCAUAAACAAGUGUACUCCAUGAAAGAGGUAAAAUGAUUAAGUACAUAAAUGGAAUCCACUAGUGAUUUGGAAAAACAAAAAAAAAUUGUUUUGUUGCAUGUGUUCUGUCAGACUAUUUAUUGGAUGCAGCUUUUGUACAAAUACAAAGCUCCUUUUAAGGGGCAGUUAAAUUGACGUUUUCAACUUUACCAAAGACGGAACUCCGGAAGUGAAUGAUGGUUUAAUACUACUUGUUUAAAAUACUUGACAUAUAAAGUGGUAAUUCUGAAGUGUGUUAGAUCAAACUCUUCACCAUAUUACCACCAGUAUUUCAUUCAGAUGAGAGGCACUUGCGGUGCAGU